AGACAGGGUGGGAGAGCAGCAUGGGUGCACAGGUGCAGCAUGGAUGUAUGGAUGCCUGGGUACUUGGGUGCACAGGUUCAGCACAGAUGCAUGGCUGCGUAGAUGUAGCACAGAUGCAGCACGGAUGCACGGAUGCAUGGAGGGUGGUAUGCAUGCAUGUUUGUGUGUGUUCAUGUGUGUGGGUGCACUUGUUUGGAUGAAUGUGGUGUGUGUGUGCGGGCACAUGCGUGAAUGCAUGGAUAUGUGUGUGUAUGUGUGUGUGUGUGUGUGUGUGUGUGUGUAUGUGUGUGUAUGGUUAAUGUUGGAUGUCGUUCUCAAUUGCUCUUCACCUUGUAUAUCGAGAUGUGGGGACUCUUGCUGAACCUGGAGCCAUUUUUCAGUAUGAGUAGCCAGGCUUGCUCCAGGGAUUCUCUAUCUCUGAGUCUUG
rnacentral:lncRNA from 1 species